GUGCGCAGUGUGCAAUCUGCAGGACUACUUCAAACACUGCUCUCACUGAACACGUCGUUUUAACGUCGUGAUGAGAGCGAGCGCCAAGACGAACAACUGACCGGCCUUCCAUUCCGAGGAGCGACAGCAAGACAGCUGUUUAUACGGCGGAGGUUCGACCCAGUGACGGAAUGUUUUCCAAUUGACCUGAUCAUCUGAAGAAAGUCGACGGCCGGAUCAACGAACCAUGACUGACGCUAAGAAGCCGGCGACGGACAAGCCCGUACAGGGGCUCAGUGGCAGGAAAGCGUGCGCAGCGGGUACCGUGGCCGUGCUCGCAACGGGCGCAGUCUUCCUGCUGGUCGGACGCUACGUGGUGCCGUCGAACUGGCAAAGUGGCUACACAACGGCGAGCGCCGCCGCACCAGCUCUCAGCGGCUCCGCGGACGCGGGCAGCGAGCAGCGGACGUCGCCGCCUGCGACAAACGCUUCCGCCGCAUGUGUGAACAGUUGCCGCGGAAGCGACGGCAUUGUAGGACUUGAGAGCGCCCAUCGAGAGGUCGACACCGAUCUGCUUGU